GACGAACGCUGGCGGCGUGCUUAACACAUGCAAGUCGAACGAAGAGCGAUGGAAGCUUGCUUCUAUCAAUCUUAGUGGCGAACGGGUGAGUAACGCGUAAUCAACCUGCCCUUCAGAGGGGGACAACAGUUGGAAACGACUGCUAAUACCGCAUACGAUCUAAUCUCGGCAUCGAGGAUAGAUGAAAGGUGGCCUCUACAUGUAAGCUAUCACUGAAGGAGGGGAUUGCGUCUGAUUAGCUAGUUGGAGGGGUAACGGCCCACCAAGGCGACGAUCAGUAGCCGGUCUGAGAGGAUGAACGGCCACAUUGGGACUGAGACACGGCCCAGACUCCUACGGGAGGCAGCAGUGGGGAAUCUUCCGCAAUGGACGAAAGUCUGACGGAGCAACGCCGCGUGAGUGAUGACGGCCUUCGGGUUGUAAAGCUCUGUUAAUCGGGACGAAAGGCCUU
rnacentral:rRNA from 1 species